AAGUGAAGCAGAGGACAGUGGCGGACGGGUGAGUAACGCGUGAGGAACCUGCCUUUCAGUGGGGGACAACAGUUGGAAACGACUGCUAAUACCGCAUAAUGCAUUUUGACCGCAUGAUCGAGAUGCCAAAGAUUUAUUGCUGAAAGAUGGGCUCGCGUCUGAUUAGAUAGUUGGUGAGGUAACGGCCCACCAAGUCGACGAUCAGUAGCCGGACUGAGAGGUUGAACGGCCACAUUGGGACUGAGAUACGGCCCAGACUCC
rnacentral:rRNA from 1 species